rnacentral:rRNA from 1 species
GCGGCGGACGGGUGAGUAACACGUGGGUAACCUGCCCAUAAGACUGGGAUAACAUUCGGAAACGAAUGCUAAUACCGGAUACGCGAAUCGGUCGCAUGAUCGAAUCGGGAAAGGCGGAGCAAUCUGCCACUUAUGGAUGGACCCGCGGCGCAUUAGCUAGUUGGUGGGGUAACGGCUCACCAAGGCGACGAUGCGUAGCCGACCUGAGAGGGUGAUCGGCCACACUGGGACUGAGACACGGCCCAGACUCCUACGGGAGGCAGCAGUAGGGAAUCUUCCGCAAUGGACGAAAGUCUGACGGAGCAACGCCGCGUGAGUGAUGAAGGUUUUCGGAUCGUAAAGCUCUGUUGCCAGGGAAGAAUGCUUGCGAGAGUAACUGCUCGCAAGGUGACGGUACCUGAGAAGAAAGCCCCGGCUAACUACGUGCCAGCAGCCGCGGUAAUACGUAGGGGGCAAGCGUUGUCCGGAAUUAUUGGGCGUAAAGCGCGCGCAGGCGGCCUUGUAAGUCUGUCGUUUAAACUCGGAGCUCAACUUCGAGUCGCGAUGGAAACUGCAAAGCUUGAGUGCA